UGCUAGUACCCUCUGUACGUACACACGCGC
rnacentral:sRNA from 1 species